GUGUCCUUUCCCUCUCCUUUCUGCAGGACUACCUUCUGUAUGGAUCCAGGUGUGACUGUCACAGCUGCAACAUGACAGAGCUUCCUGUUGCCAGAGCUCCAGAGACUUUGCUUAGCUGACUACGGUGGCGCUGCAGGCCGCUGAUGUCACCAGGCUAAGUUCCCACAAUGUUUCUUAGCAGAGAGGAUCCGAGAUGGACAAACUUAGCAGAAAAUCAAUGCGUCCCUGUGUGUCUGCUCCCACUGUCACUGAGGUCGCUGAGCUGUUGGUGAAUUUCACCCCUCUCUUUGAGGCUGCAGCCAAGGGAAAAUAGCUAAGAAAUCUGCUGAGGCUCAAGAAAUGUGAUGGUAACAUGUCUUUGGACAUGGUGAAGGAGGGAGACACGGGCAUCCAGGACAAGCUGGAAGGAGAUGCUGCUCUCCUUAAGCACGGGGCUGACGACAACGCUCCGGUCAAAGGAGGCUCAUCUCCCUGCGCAACG